AGAUUGAACGCUGGCGGAAUGCUUUACACAUGCAAGUCGAACGGCAGCACGGGGGCAACCCUGGUGGCGAGUGGCGAACGGGUGAGUAAUACAUCGGAACGUGCCCAGUCGUGGGGGAUAACUACGCGAAAGCGUAGCUAAUACCGCAUACGAUCUACGGAUGAAAGCGGGGGACUCGCAAGAGCCUCGCGCGAUUGGAGCGGCCGAUGGCAGAUUAGGUAGUUGGUGGGGUAAAGGCUCGACCAAGCCGACGAUCUGUAGCUGGUCUGAGAGGACGACCAGCCACACUGGGACUGAGACACGGCCCAGACUCCGUACGGGAGGCAGCAGGUGGGGUAAUUUGGACAAGUGGGCGAAAGCCUGAUCCAGCCAGUCCGCGUGCUAGGAUGAACGGCCCGUACGGUGUAAACGUGU
rnacentral:rRNA from 1 species